UAUGGCCAUAUCACAUUGAAACACCAGUUCUUGCAAGAUCACUGAAGUUAAGCAAUGUUGAGUCUGGUUAGUAACUAUUUGGGUGAUCACUUGAGAAUGCCAGGUGCUGUAAG